GCUCCUGGAGAGGAAGUGUGUGGGCACUGAGGUGGAUAUGGUGAUGCCAGAGAUGGCAGUAGGGUAUGAUGGAAACAACAAAGCCACCUUACAGCAUAAAGACAUUCUAGAGAAGAACCAGACCUCUUAAACUUCUAGAGGCAAAAAUGACAUCCAGGACACUGUGGAGCAAGGUCUUCUUUUGAUAGCCCUAUCUUAGUAAGGUUUCAUUGCUGGGAAGAGACACCAUGACCAAGGCAACUCUUAUAAAGAACAUCAUUUAAUUGGAGCUGGCUUAUCCAUUAUCAACAAGGCAGGAAACAUGGCAGCAUCCGGGCCAGCAUGACACUGGAAGAGCCAAGAGUUCUGAAGGCAGUCAAGAGAAGACUGUCUUUCACAGGCAACUAGAAGGAGGCUCUCUUCACCACAGAGCCUUGUGAGGGUGUCCAGAGGCCGUGGCAUGGGAGAGGACACGUGGCCCGAAUGCUGAGCAGACCUGGUAAGUAUCUAGUUGCCUUUGAGAAAACUGGAUACUGAGGAGACUUGUAAUGCUCUGAACAAGCCUCCCCCCUUAACACUAAGUGCUCUUGUUUUGGAAAAUAUGGCUGUGUUUUAGAAUUGGUGAGGGAUGUUUAUUCUAGAACCUUCUCAGAUACCAAAAUACAAUUCCCUCUGUACUGUAAAUCACCUCUACAAUUAUAAAACCAAUAUUCUGUAGCAUACA